GACGAACGCUGGCGGUGUGCUUAACACAUGCAAGUCGAACGGUAAGGCCCUUUCGGGGGUACACGAGUGGCGAACGGGUGAGUAACACGUGAGUAACCUGCCUCAACUCUGGGAUAACAGUCGGAAACGGUUGCUAAUACUGGAUAUGAGCUUGCAAGGCAUCUUGUGGGUUGGAAAGAUUUUUUUGGUUGGGGAUGGACUCGCGGCCUAUCAGCUUGUUGGUGAGGUAGUGGCUCACCAAGGCUUCGACGGGUAGCCGGCCUGAGAGGGCGACCGGCCACAUUGGGACUGAGAUACGGCCCAAACUCCUACGGGAGGCAGCAGUGGGGAAUAUUGCACAAUGGACGGAAGUCUGAUGCAGCAACGCCGCGUGCGGGAGGACGGCCUUCGGGUUGGAAACCGCUUUCAAUUGUGACGAAGCUUUUUGUGACGGUAGCAGUAGAAGAAGCACCGGCUAACUACGUG
rnacentral:rRNA from 1 species